GUGAUGAUGAAAAUGAGGUGCAUCCAGAUUUUGAUGCGACAAAAGGAAUGCAUGAUCCAUAAUUAUGUGAGGGCAUGAAAUUUAAGGAAUGGGCUCUUAGAAGGGGAUUUAGUUACAUUUAUUUGAAGAAUAGCAGUAAGAGGAUUAUUAUAAUAUGUAAAGAUAAGUAUGUGUUUAGGGUGCAUGCUUCUUUAAUGGGGAGGAGUACCGCAUCCCAAAUUAAAAGCUUCAAACACAAGCAUGAAUAUCCUAGGCAUUUUGAAAACAAUUUAGUGAACUCUCAAUAAUUGGCAAAGAAAUAUUUAAAUAAUUUGAGGUAUAAUCGUGAUUGGGAUGUCACUGCAACGAGAAAGAGGAUUCAAAGGGAGGUAGGAGCAGAGGUGUCACUGCAAGAACACUACAGAGCUAAAAGGAAAACGAAGAAGAUAAUUGAAGGUGAUGUGAAAUUGCAAGACACUAGACUUCAUGAUUAUGCUGCCAUAAUAAGGGCAAAUAAUCCAGGUUCAUGUGUUAAAAUUGAGUGUAAUGUUAUGGAUAAAUAGUUAUAUGACACACUUAUUGUGGGUUUAGAAGUGGAAAAUGAGCAACCUCAAAGUAGCAUAAAAAAUCUAGUCCCUAUCUUCCAAUAUAUGCAUAUCAAGUUGAAUGCACAGAAAAAAGGGUUUUUAGCUGGUUUGAGACCUAUUAUUGGUUUAGAUGGCUGUCACUUGAAGACCUCAAUAGGAAGAAAACACUUGUGUGCUAUUGGAAGGGAUGGAAAUGAGAAUCUUUUUCCAAUUGCUAUUGCUACUGUUAAUAUAGAAUGCAAGAAAUCUUAGAGGUGGUUUAUAACCAAUCUAUUUGAAGACUUUUAGCAUCCUCCUGAAACAGGUUGGGUUUUCAUUUUAGACCAAGAAAAGGGAUUGGUUGAGGCUUUUAAUGAGUUGAUGCCAGGUGUGGAUUAUAGACAUUGUGUCAAGCAUUUAUAUGAAAACUACAAAAAGUUAUAUAGAGGCUUGGAAUACAAGAACAAGAUGUGGUAUGUUGCAGGUGCUGGGACAGAGAAAUCCUUUAAUACUGCAUUAAGUGCAAUCAAGGAUUUUGAUGUUAAUGCUCAUGAUUGGCUACUGAACAAAGAUCCAAGGCGUUGGACAAGGGCAUUUUUCUCAACUAGCACAAAAUGUGAUGCACUUUAGAAUAACAUUUAUGAGAGCUUUAAUUCAUUGAUCAAACCUACUAAGGACAUGCAAAUAUUGAGCAUGCUUGAAUGGAUAAGAAGUAGAUUAAUGAAAUGUUUUCAUGUCAAAUAUAUUGGGAUGUUGAGGUAUAAGGGUGAUAUAUGUCCUAACAUUCAAGACUUACUGAAGAAAUACAAAUACGAAGCAAGGAAUUGUUUUUGCACACCUUGUGGGGAAAGGAGAUAUCAAGUUAAUUUCUAUGACGCUCAACAUGUUAUUGACCUCAAUUCACACAGUUGCAGCUGUAGAACAUGGGAUUUGUUAAGAAUCCCAUGUAAGCAUAGCAUUUCUGCAAUAUAUGCUAACAAGGAGAAGCCAGAGGAUUAUGGGCAUAGUUAUUAUCUUAAGUAUAUUUGCUUGGCAGUUUACAAACAUGUCAGAUAUCCUGUGCCAAGUAAAGAGGAAUGGGAAAGAACAAAAUUGAAUGACAUAUAUCCUCCAAUUGUAAGGAAAACAGUAGGAAAACCCAGAAAGAAGAGAAUUAGAUAGCCUGAUGAAGUAAGAAAUCCAUUCAGGGUUUCGAGGGCAGGGACUAAAAUGACUUGUGGUAAUUGUGGAAAAGAAGGACACAUUGUAAGGGGUUGCACUGCUACUGGAUAGGUGAAACACCUGGAUAAAGGAGAGUAAGGAAAAGGAAACAAGCUAAGGGUUUGCAUGGUUUUUCCAAUAGUCAGGGUGAAAGGCAAUAUAAGUAAGCUCCAAGCUCACAGCCAACUCCAAGAUCUGAGGCAUUUGAAAACUUUUCAAGAAAAAGAACCAAAGGGAACAUGAUGGACAGUGCAUCACAGCCAAUACCCAAUGCACCAAUCACCUCCCAAUAAGUUAGGCCUACAAGAGCCAAGAUGACAGCAAGGGUAGUGUGAUAACUUUAAACAACUCAAUAUAAAUGUAUUUUUUCAAACUUUCAUUUUCAAAUUACUGAUGUGAAAAAUGGUAACUUUGUGUUCACAAAAGAAGACACAACCAUUCAAAAGUCCAAGACAAACUAAAGAUGGUUACCCUUCAACAAACUAAAGAAGAAUGAUUUAAACUUUUGUAUUUUGCGUAUUGCAUGUGGUGAUGGAUUUGUAAAUGGAAAUUCUUAUGUAUUUUGACAAGUGGAAGUGGUUACGGUAUUUAGUCUUAGUUUUGUAACCGUGAAUGCAGGCAUCAUAUUGUAACUGCAAAAAUCUUUUAUUCACAGUGAUGAUGUGAUUUUGUAUAGGGCUGUGGAUAUGUAUUCUCCAAGUUGAUCUCAUAACAGGGGAUUUUGUCAUUUUGUAUAGGUCUAUGAUGUUCUUCCACACCAAUAUUAAUGAAAUAUGUCAUUAAAUGAAA